rnacentral:rRNA from 1 species
CAGUCGCCACGGUAAUACGAAGGGGGCUAGCGUUGUUCGGAAUCACUGGGCGUAAAGCGCACGUAGGCGGACUUUUAAGUCAGGGGUGAAAUCCCAAGGCUCAACCUUGGAACUGCCUUUGAUACUGGAAGUCUUGAGUUCGGGAGAGGUGAGUGGAACUGCGAGUGUAGAGGUGAAAUUCGUAGAUAUUCGCAAGAACACCAGUGGCGAAGGCGGCUCACUGGCCCGAUACUGACGCUGAGGUGCGAAAGCGUGGGGAGCAAACAGGAUUAGAUACCCCUGUAGUCCCUGUCUCUUAUAA